rnacentral:rRNA from 1 species
GGCGGCUCUCUAAGACAGGUGUGAAAUCCCCGGGCUUAACCUGGGAAUGGCGCUUGUGACUGGAGAGCUAGAGUGUGGCAGAGGGGAAUGGAAUUCCUGGUGUAGCAGUGAAAUGCGUAGAUAUCAGGAGGAACACCGAUGGCGAAGGCAGUUCCCUGGGCCAACACUGACGCUCAUGCACGAAAGCGUGGGGAGCAAACAGGAUUAGAUACCCUGGUAGUCCACGCCCUAAACGAUGUCAACUAGUUGUUGGGGAAGGAGACUUCUUUAGUAACGUAGCUAACGCGUGAAGUUGACCGCCUGGGGAGUACGGCCGCAAGGCUAAAACUCAAAUGAAUUGACGG